rnacentral:lncRNA from 10 species
CUGAAACAAAGACUGAGCCUUAGUGUUGGAUUUGAAGGAAGAAGCCCCAGGAGCUGCUGAGAGCUGUUUUAUAACCAUGAGCUCAAACUUUAUAGCAAGACAAAGCCAGAAUGUUCAGGUGAAGAAGCAGAGAAUGGCUGUGUGAGUUUCCUAGGCUGUCGGAACAGAGAGCCACAAACUGGGUGUCUUCAAUCCAUACAAAUGUAAUUAUCUCACAGUUCUGGAAGCUGGAAGUCUGAAAUCAAGGUGUCAGCGGGGCUAUGCUUCCUCUAAAGCCUCUAGCCAUGUAAAAUGUGCCUCCUUCGUCUUCUCAUUCUGCCAUGAUUGUAAGUUUCCUGAGGUCUCCCCAGCCACGCUUCCUGAACAGCCUGCGGAACGG